rnacentral:rRNA from 1 species
GUGGGGAAUAUUGGACAAUGGGCGCAAGCCUGAUCCAGCAAUGCCGCGUGGGUGAAGAAGGUCUUCGGAUCGUAAAGCCCUUUCGACAGGGACGAUGAUGACGGUACCUGUAGAAGAAGCCCCGGCUAACUUCGUGCCAGCAGCCGCGGUAAUACGAAGGGGGCUAGCGUUACUCGGAAUUACUGGGCGUAAAGGGCGCGUAGGCGGCUCUGUUAGUCAGGCGUGAAAUUCCUGGGCUUAACCUGGGGACUGCGCUUGAUACUGCAGGGCUUGAGGCCGAGAGAGGGUGGUGUAAUUCCCAGUGUAGAGGUGAAAUUCGUAGAUAUUGGGAAGAACACCGGUGGCGAAGGCGACCACCUGGCUCGGUUCUGACGCUGAGGCGCGACAGCGUGAGGAGCAAACAGGAUUAGAUACCCUGGUAGUCC